UGGGGAAUAUUGCACAAUGGGGGAAACCCUGAUGCAGCGACGCCGCGUGAGUGAAGAAGUAUUUCGGUAUGUAAAGCUCUAUCAGCAGGGAAGAAAGUGACGGUACCUGACUAAGAAGCCCCGGCUAACUACGUGCC
rnacentral:rRNA from 1 species